UACGUAGGUGGCAAGCGUUGUCCGGAAUUAUUGGGCGUAAAGCGCGCGCAGGUGGUUUCCUAAGUCUGAUGUGAAAGCCCACGGCUCAACCGUGGAGGGUCAUUGGAAACUGGGGAACUUGAGUGCAGAAGAGGAAAGUGGAAUUCCAAGUGUAGCGGUGAAAUGCGUAGAGAUUUGGAGGAACACCAGUGGCGAAGGCGACUUUCUGGUCUGUAACUGACACUGAGGCGCGAAAGCGUGGGGAGCGAACAGG
rnacentral:rRNA from 1 species